rnacentral:misc_RNA from 1 species
GAUGAAGAACGUAGCGAAAUGCGAAAAGUAGUGUGAAUUGCAGAAUUCAGUGAAUCAUCGAGUCUUUGAACGCACAUUGCGCCCUCUGGUAUUCCGGAGGGCAUGCCUGUCCGAGCGUCAUUGCUGCCCUCAAGCACGGCUUGUGUGUUGGGCUCCGUCCCCCGAUCCCGGGGGACGGGCCCGAAAGGCAGCGGCGGCACCGCGUCCGGUCCUCGAGCGUAUGGGGCUUUGUCACCCGCUCUGUAGGCCCGGCCGGCGCUUGCCGAUCAACCAAAUUUUUAUCCAGGUUGACCUCGGAUCAGGUAGGGAUACCCGCUGAACUUAAGCAUAUCAAUAAGCGGAGGA